CCAAAACUUCCGCAUGACAUUUUUGAGUUUAGCAAAGCCAUCUUGACUAGGAAACCUUGACCGAUUGAACCCUUGAAAAAGGUCCCAUACGGACCGAAACGUCGGGAAAAAUCAUAAA